GAGCUGCCAGUUGGAGUCAGAGGGAAGAGGCUGCAGAGACUUUUACAGAGAUGCUAAAGAGGUGAAAACUGGAAAGGGUAUGACCAGAUGUGAAGAUAUUCACCAUUGAGUGCUCUUCUUUUCAGAAGAAACUGAAGAUUGGAUUGGAAACUAGUAGAGAACGACCCAGAAGGUAUAUAGUUAGCUAUUGAGGUAAGGGGGUCCAUUUGUAAUUUUACUACUUCUCUUCACUUCAUGACUGGUGAAAUGGGCAAGAAAUGGUACACCAGGAGUUGGAAGCACUAUUACCUAUUGAUUUUACUUUUUUUCUUCCCUUAAAGGACAGGCACAGAAGGAGAUGGAAGCCCUGAGGUCAAAGGGAAGUUUAUUCCUCUUUGAACUGAGAUUCUCCAUAUCGCAGUAUGUAGAUCAUGUUGGCAGCUCUCAGUGGAAAUUGCUAUGUGCUGGGACAGUUGGAAGUCAAGUUAUUAACUUCCUUGAAAUAAGUUUUCCUUGGGAUUAAUGCUAACCUAUUUUCACAGGAUUUUCUAAUUUCCUAUUUAUUUGUCCUGCCCAAGUUUUUAAAAUUUAUUUAAAUUGUUAAGUUCUUUUCCUGUUUAUGUAUUUAUGCAUCCUCUCUCUUUAAGACUUUCCAUUUAGGUUGAAGGGAAUAUUAAAGGGAAGAACAGUUAAGGGAGGCAGUGGUCAAAAGCAAAAGACUUUUCAGGAGGGACAGGAUAAAAUGGUAGAAAAAAAGGAUAAAUAGGAGACUAUAGGAUGGAGGGAAUUGCACAGGUGAAUGUGAAUAGGAUGAACUUGCCCAUAAAAUGGAUGUGGGAAGGAAAAUGGAUUCAAAACUAGUAUCCAGAGGAA